GGGACCUUCUCCACGCUCCCGAGGCGAACGCAGGGCGUGGGUGUGCGGAGGGGGGCGCGCACAUCUGGGGAAGAAGCCCGAGUGGGCGGAGAGCCGCAUCUGCUGCAGUGGGCGGGCUGUCGCAGGAAGGAGCCCCAGCAGCCGCCACCGCCACCUCGGGAGUUUGCUGGGCUAGUGCAGUAACUAUGCAGCAUGACUGGACAGUGCGUAGAUUUGAUCAGGAAUUCAUAUCCAGAGCUGCAGCAAAAUACUGGUGUCUCUCAAGCAAGAAAAGGAAAGGUGGGUAGCCUCAAGGCAAGAAAAGGAAAAACCUCCAAAGGAUUUUUCUGUCCCUUGACCAUCUUCAACAGGGACAAGAGGCCUCAGCAUCCUCCAGAGAUUCUGCCUCUACCCUGGGAAUAGUGGAUUAAGAUUUGGCGGUGUUUCUGAGACAGAACAGCUGAGGGAAACUGAGUGGAUAAAGAGCAAGAACUUCCUCUUUUUCUGGUCCAUAUGUCCUUGAGGAUGUCUUCCACUUCUUAUGCUUUAAGCCAUCCCUGGCAAUAUAUUGCAGUCUGUAAACCCCAAAUUCCUACUGCUCUUACACUCAUCAGUAAUUUUGACCCCCCAAAUAUCAUCUAGUCCAUGAUUUGCAGCCAGAACAUUUCCUUAGGUUUUUGUUGGGUUGGGUUGGCUUUUUACAAACUGGGAUUUCGUCAAUGUAGGGAGAUCUUGGUGAGGAAUGUCAUCAACCAGUGCAAGUUGGCACCUUUUAUGUAGAAUAAUAAGCUAUUGCCACUGG
rnacentral:lncRNA from 1 species